AAAAAGGCCAACACAGCCCAGCUAAAAACAUAAGUCCUCAGGCCUAAGUCAGGCCCCUUAAAACUGCACCUAAGUCAGAUCCUUCUUAGAAAUUCCUAAGGCUCAAUGCUGUGUGGAAGAUUCUGAGAAAGAAAAUAGUUUCCGAUCUUUGGGAUUCCCGAGAUGGUCCAAUCUGCAAAAAGUUCAUUGCCAUUUCCAUCAAGGACACUGAGAACAAGAGUCUUAUCCGGAUUGGAUCCUGGGAAUUGAGAAGCUUCAGCAGGGCUUCCGCUGGGACUAGGAUCAGGAUGUGGACACCCCCAACCUGGACCGUCUGG
rnacentral:lncRNA from 10 species